rnacentral:rRNA from 1 species
UACGUAGGGUGCGAGCGUUGUCCGGAAUUAUUGGGCGUAAAGAGCUCGUAGGCGGUCUGUCGCGUCGGUCGUGAAAACUUGGGGCUUAACCCUGAGCUUGCGGUCGAUACGGGCAUGACUGGAGUUCGGCAGGGGAGACUGGAAUUCCUGGUGUAGCGGUGAAAUGCGCAGAUAUCAGGAGGAACACCUGCGGCGAAGGCGGGUUGCUGGGCUGACACUGACGCUGAGGCGCGAAAGCUAGGGGAGCGAACGGG